rnacentral:lncRNA from 1 species
GUGCCAAAAAUAGGCCGCGGGCACAGCCGCGCCCAAAAAUAAGAGGCCGAAUGCCGGGCGCCAAAACCCCCCAGCGGAAAAAAGGCCAAAAAAACGGGUGGUCUAUAGCCUUGGGGGGUGGGGCUGGCCAAGUUCGUCCUCCGGACUCGGAAUGGCGCGAGACUUUGCGAGGGGCCUCCGUGUGCCAAAAAUAGGCCGCGGACACAGUCACGCCCAAAUAUAAGCGACCGAAGGCCGGGGCGCCAAGUUCGUCCUGCGGAAAAAGGCCACAAAAACGGGUGGGCUAUAGCCUUGGGGGGUGGGGCUGGCCAAGUUCGUCCGCCGGACUCGGAAUGGCGCGAGACUUUGCGAGUGGCCUACGUGUGCCGAAAAUAAGUGACCGAAGGCCGGGGCGCCAAGUUCGUCCAGCAGAAAAAGGCCACAAAAACAGGUGGGCUAUAGACUUCGGGGGUGGGGCUGGCAAAGUUCGUCCGCCGGACUCGGAAUGGCGCGAGACUUUACGAGGGGCCUCCAUGUGCCUAAAAUAGGCCGCGGGUAAAGCCGCGCCCAAAAAUAACCGCCCGAAGGCCGGGGCGCCAAGUUCGUCCAGCGGAAAAAUGCCACAAAAAUGGGUGGGCUAUAGCCUUGGGGGGUGGGGCUGGCCCAAGUUCGUCCGCUGGACUCGGAAUGGCGCGAGACUUUGUGAGGGGACUCCGUGUGCCAAAAAGAGGCCGCGGGCGUGGCCGUUCCAAAAAAUAAAUGACCGAAGGCCUGGGCGCCAAGUUCGUCCAGCGGAAAAGGACCAAAAAAACGGGUGGGCUAUAGCCUUGGGGGGUGGGGCCGACCAAUUUCGUCCGCCGGACUCGGAAUGGCGCGAGACUUUUUGAGGGGCCUCCGUGUGCUAAAAAUAGGCCACGGGCACAGCCGCGCCCAAAAAUAACCGCCCGAAGGCCGGGGCGCCAAGUUCGUCCAGCGGAAAAAGGCCACAAAAAUGGGUGGGCUAUAGCCUUGGGGGGUGGGGCUGGCCAAGUUCGUCCGCCGGACUCGGAAUGGCGCGAGACUUUGUGAGGGGACUCCGUGUGCCAAAAAGAGGCCGCGGGCGUGGCCGUUCCCAAAAAUAAAUGACCGAAGGCCGGGGCGCCAAGUUCGUCCAGCGGAAAAGGAACAAAAAAACGGGUGGGCUAUAGCCUUGGGGGGUGGGGCUGACCAAUUUCGUCCGCCGGACUCGGAAUGGCGCGAGACUUUUUGAGGGGCCUCCGUGUGCUAAAAAUAGGCCACGGGCACAGCCGCGCCCAAAAAUAACCGCCCGAAGGCCGGGGCGCCAAGUUCGUCCAGCGGAAAAAGGCCACAAAAAUGGGUGGGCUAUAGCCUUGGGGGGUGGGGCUGGCCAAGUUCGUCCGCCGGACUCGGAAUGGCGCGAGACUUUGUGAGGGGACUCCGUGUGCCAAAAAGAGGCCGCGGGCGUGGCCGUUCCCAAAAAUAAAUGACCGAAGGCCGGGGCGCCAAGUUCGUCCAGCGGAAAAAAGGCCACAAAAACGGGUGGGCUAUAGCCUUGGGGGGUGGGGCUGGCCAAUUUCGUCCGCCGGACUCGGAAUGCCGCGAGACUUUGCGAGGGGCCUCCAUGUGCAAAAAAUAGGCCGCGGCCAAAGCCGCGCCCAAAAAUAACCUCCCGAAGGCCGGGGCGCCAAGUUCGACCAGCGGAAAAAGGCCACAAAAAUGGGUGGGAUAUAGCCUUGGGGUUUGGGGCUGGCCGACUUCGUCCGCCCGACUCGGAAUGCCGCGAGACUUUGCGAGGGGCCUCCGUGUGUCAAACAUAGGCUGCGGACAAAGCCGCGCCCAAAAAUAACUGCCCGAAGGCCGGGGCACCAAGUUCGUCCAGCGGAAAAAGGCCACAAAGACGGGUGGGCUAUAGCCUUGGGGGAUGGGGCUGGCCAACUUCGUCCGCCGGACUCGGAAUGCCGCGAGACUUUCCGAGGGGCCUCCGUGUGCCAAAAAUAGGCCGCGGGCAAAGCCCCCGCCAAAAAUAACUGCCCGAUGGCCGGGGCGCCAAGUUCGUCCAGCGGAAAAAGGCCACAAAAACGGGUGUGCUAUAGCCUUGGGGGCUGGGGCUGGCAAACUUCGUCCGCCGUACUCGGAAUGCCGUGAGACUUUGCGAGGGGCCUCCGUGUGUUAAAAAUAGGCCGCGGACAAAGCCGCGCCCAAAAAUAACCGCCCGAAGGCCGGGGCGCCAGGUUCGUCCAGCGGAAAAAGGCCAGAAAAAUGGGUGGGCUAUAGCCUUGGGGGGUGGGGCUGGCCGACUUCGUCCGCCUGACUCGGAAUGCCGCGAGACUUUGCGAGGGGCCUCCGCGUGUUAAAAAUAGGCCGUGGACAAAGCCGCGCCCAAAAAUAACCUCCCGAAGGCCGGGGCGCCAAGUUCGACCAGCGGAAAAAGGCCACAAAAAUGGGUGGGAUAUAGCCUUGGGGUUUGGGGCUGGCCGACUUCGUCCGCCAAAAAUAACUGCCCGAUGGCCGGGGCGCCAAGUUCGUCCAGCGGAAAAAGGCCACAAAAACGGGUG